rnacentral:lncRNA from 1 species
AAUGGAUUAAGUCAAUCAAUAGAUUAAAAACUUUACCAUCUGCUGGUGCUACUGGGAGGUAAUAGAAACAUUCCAAGAUGGGACUAGUCAUUUGGCGUGUGCCAGUGAGAGAUCAUGAGACCCCAAGCUCUGCUCCUGCCAUUUUAUGUUUUGAAUUAGAAAUAUGUUUUGAAUUCUUAUUCCUCAGUGGGUAUCAAUAUUUGAAAAGGACCUGGAUAUGUCUCAAGGUAGCAGUAGAACUUGGCUUCAUUUGUAUGUGCUGGCUUUCCAUGAAUGUAAAAUACAAGAGGAGACUUCCACUAAGGAUUCCAGAGAAAAGGCGGCAGAGUCAGGCAAAGGACACAUUAUUGCUACAUCUGAUAAUUAUUUUAAAAAUGCUACUGAUGCUGCUAUGGAAAUGACAGCUGAAGAGUAGUGGGAGCAGAUCAGCUGAAAAAUAGGUGGGUAUGGCCUUGAAUAUGUGGGCACCCUUCUUUCAAAUGGGCCAUGCUGAGACAUCCCUGGUCACUAUCCCUAUGUCACUAUUCCCUGUGCCUCCCUGGUGCAGCCUUGAAAUUGUAAUAUGAAUAUGAUGGCAAAGAAUCAAUAUUUCCUCACCAUUUUUUUAAAUUACCUAAACUUAUCCAAAAGCAGCAAAAGGAAAAAAAUCAAAAAGAGAAGGUCUAUAUUUUCUGUAAAAUUAGAUCAUUAAAAUCUCAAAUCUCUACCAUUAUACUUUGAUGAUUUGUGUCCCUUCAAAACUCCUGUUGAAACUUAUCUUUAGUGUGAUAGCGGUAAGAGGUGAGCUGUAUGGCAGGUGAUUAGGCC